GUGCACCAGGCGAGAACCUUUACAAUGCACGAAGUGCGAUAAGGGGAUCCCAAGUGCCAAUACUCUGUAUUGGCUUUGCUGAGAGUAAAAUCUCGGCGAAUAAGUGAUGGGUAAGACUGGUGCCAGCCGCCGCGGUAACACCAGCGUCACGAGUGGCGCCCACUUUUAUUGGGUCUAAAGCAUCCGUAGCCGGUCUGGCAAGUCCCUUGUUAAAUCCAACGAUUCAAUCGUUGGACUGCAAGGGAUACUGCCAGACUAGGGGGCGGGAGAGGCCGACGGUAUUCCCGGGGUAGGGGUGAAAUCCUAUAAUCCCCGGGAGGACCACCAGUGGCGAAGGCUGUCGGCUAGAACGCGCCCGACGGUGAGGGAUGAAAGCUGGGGGAGCGAACCGGAUUAGAUA
rnacentral:rRNA from 1 species